UACCUCUUAAAAAAAAUGUUUAUAUGUAAACACACACACACACACACACACACACACACACACCCCUUUAAUCCAGCAAUCCCAGUACAAUUAUUUUCCUGUGACAUUAAAGUUGCUCAAGAUAUACAAGGAUAUUCACUGAAGCAUGUUUGAUAAUAACAAAGCCAGAAAAACCACCAGUAGCCAUCGGUAAGGGACUAAUUAAAUAAAUUAUGAAUUAUCCAUAGUUAGCAAGCAUUUUAAAAGCAUUAGAUAAACAUAUAUGUGCUGGUAAGGAGAGAUCUCCAGUAUAUGUUAAGUGAAAAAAAGCAAGGUGCAAAAAGACACUUGGCUGGCUAAGUUCAGUGGCGUUACAAUCUAGUCAGUUCUGGAGAUGGGGCCAAUCAUAAAAUGUAAAGAACACAGCCUCCUGUACACUUCCUUCCUGUCAAAGGAAGAACACAGAUAGUAAAGGAAGGAAAUUCUUAUAGAGGAUUAGUGCUGUCAGGGAGAUCCAUCAGAGAAGUAUCAUGAGGUAAAUAAUCAUUAAAGAAAAAGGAUGGGGAGAGAUGAGCAUAGACAUGAGUUUAAAAUGGACAGGCGUGGCGGGGCAUGUUUGAGGAAAGAAACGGGUGUGCAAAGUUCAAAGAUGAAGCUAGCACGAAAGAGCCCAAGACUGGCUGGAGGCAUCCAGUUAGGAGGCUGUUGUGAUAGUACAGGUAUGAGACAGAUAAGGUCUGGAUCAGAAAUAAGGCAAUGAAGGAUGAAAAGAAAUGGUUUGGCAAGAAUUUGCAACUGAUUAGAUUAAGAAGAGAGAGGCAAAUAAGCUAGAAGGAGGAAUCUGAGGUGAAUCCAAGAUUUUAGACUGUCAAAGGGCUGGAAAAAAUGAGGAAGUCCAAAGGGGGAUCUGAGAUGCAGUUGACUUUAGAAAUUAGAGAUACCCAGCAGAAAGUUAAAGGUCAGGACUAAAGCUCGAAGCAAAGGUCAGGACUGCAAAUAUAUGGCUGAAUGUCUAUCAUCUAAAAGUCUGUAGAGAACUGAGUAUGCAGGAGUGAACCUUGGGAGGGAAACAUCAGUGCAAGUCAAAUAGAAUUAAGUAAGCCAUCUAUAAUCCUAUUUUUGGCCUUCCACAAUUUGAUAUAAUUUUAUUUCUUUGUACAAUGUGGUCUACAUUUUCAGUUAUGUGUGUAAGAAUUAGUUGUUAGUGUAUGAACCGUCUUCACUAU
rnacentral:lncRNA from 10 species